CCGGCGACCGGCGCACGGGUGAGUAACACGUAUGCAACCUGCCCUCUUCAGGGGGACAACCUUCCGAAAGGGAGGCUAAUCCCGCGUAUAUCGGUUUCGGGCAUCCGAGAUCGAGGAAAGAUUCAUCGGAAGAGGAUGGGCAUGCGGCGCAUUAGCUAGACGGCGGGGUAACGGCCUACCGUGGCGACGAUGCGUAGGGGUUCUGAGAGGAAGGUCCCCCACACUGGUACUGAGACACGGACCAGACUCCUACGGAAGGCAGCAG
rnacentral:rRNA from 1 species